AAGACGGGUGGAGGCAGGGGGGAAUAGGGGACAAGGGGCGAAAGCCUGAUCCAGCCAUGCCGCGUGUGUGAAGAAGGCCUUCGGGUUGUAAAGCACUUUCAGUGGGGAAGAAAGCCUUGGGGCUAAUACCCUCGAGGAAGGACAUCACCCACAGAAGAAGCACCGGCUAACUCCGUGCCAGCAGCCGCGGUAAUACGGAGGGUGCGAGCGUUAAUCGGAAUUACUGGGCGUAAAGCGCGCGUAGGCGGUCUGAUAAGCCGGUUGUGAAAGCCCCGGGCUCAACCUGGGAACGGCAUCCGGAACUGUCAGGCUAGAGUGCAGGAGAGGAAGGUAGAAUUCCCGGUGUAGCGGUGAAAUGCGUAGAGAUCGGGAGGAAUACCAGUGGCGAAGGCGGCCUUCUGGACUGACACUGACGCUGAGGUGCGAAAGCGUGGGUAGCAAACAGGAUUAGAUACCCUAGUAGUC
rnacentral:rRNA from 1 species